rnacentral:lncRNA from 1 species
CGCAGCCCCGUGCUGCCCCUCACAGCCCGUCGGAGGUGCGCGCCGCCCCUCGCGGCUCCGUGCCGCCCUCAAAGCCAUUCACAAUCUCUCGCAGCCCCGACGGAACGACCCCCGGGGCCCCCGGUGAAGCACAAGGCGGCUUUGUGCUCCCGGACGGGGCGUUGUGCAGCGGCCGUUCCCCUGCAGGUGAUGGGGAGCACCGGGAGGGCUGAGGUAGCGCGCGGCUGAGUGGCACGUGGCGAGUCGGGCCCGGCGGGAGCCGCUCCGUCCUUCUUGUAACGUAUUUUCCUUCAUGGAGAACUUACUCAUGAGGCUGAAAUUUCUGAUAUGGGAGGAGAAGAGGAGAGAGGCUGGUUUGGAGCAGAGGACCAGAGGGAUAUCAUGUCCGUGCUGGCUUUUCUCUGCAUCUGUCUGUGUUGCACUGUUGCUGUCAGUAAGCACAAGCUGGAAAUCACCUACAGAUUGUUUUAAUUUGCACCAAGGACAAAAACAUCCAUCCUCUAUUGAGCGGAGUGCUCCUAGUUUCCAGUUCUACAUUACUUCGUCAGCAGGAUCACAGCUGGGCCUAAAAGGCACUCUGCUCUGCCCUUGGCCGUGCUGCUGAUGUGUUGCAGGACAUAGAGCUGUUUGUGUUGGAGAGCCUGAGCAGCCCCAGUGAGUGUACCAAAGGUCACAGGUGGAGGGAAGUGGAAUUCUGGGCAGUUUUGAGGUGUUGAGGAGAACCUUGCAGUGCUCAACAAUUCCUGAGCAACCUGCUGUAAAUCUUCUUGUAGCCAGUUCAGCCUUUGGAAGGAGUCAGAAGAGAUUUGUGGAGCUUGGCAGCGGUGUUGUUCCUGAGGAAGACUGGAGGAAGAAAACUCAAAACCACCCUUAUGAGCAGCUCUUUAAAACGAAUGGCUAACUGAAGGAAGAAGCCUUGUGCACUUGCAGUGCCAUGAUGUUCUGCCAUCCAAAGGGGAAUUAAUUGCUGAGUGGCAUGGAAAACACACAGCACAGACAGCAGGCAUGGUCCAGACCUCAAGGGACUAGUCAUGGUCUUAAAGGCUAAGAAAAUAAUCUGAGGUGCAUUGGAGAGAAAGUGUCUUAGUAAUGCUCCAUACAUAAUGCUGGUGUUCCCAGAGUUAGUGGCGUAUCUCCAAUAUUUGUCCAUUAAAACAUGGAGACAUUCAAAGAUAUGAAGAUACUUAUUGACCUAAGAAAUAUAUCAGCAAGAAGCUGAAUAUAUUAAAUGUAUAAACUCGUUUGAAUUACAAGGAGUAUCGUGGCACACACUGUAACAUAGCAGUGAAUGAGAGUGAGUGUAAGCUGAUGAUGGUGGAGGGAACCCAUGAAAGAGAGGGUGAAGAGGAAAGGUGUUUGAAUCUCCUUAUGGAAAUAGCAGGGUUUGGGACAGGGGAACUGCUCCAUGCACCUAAUGCAUCACAGGACAAGUCAGAGGUGAGGCAAUACACAGCCACUGUCAGGAAGAGGAAAACAUGACAGCGGAUCCAAAACUGGUGGCAAGCUGUGGUUAUCCCAGACUCCAGCUGUCCGUGUUUGUGGUAGGUGACCUGCAAGGAGAUCUCCCUGAGAUGGCUGCAUUUUUCUGUCAGAAGUGAGACACUGCUGCUCUCGGCUCACGCUGUGUUAGGAGCAGCGUGCAGCUCCCAGCAGAACCCCUGCUGAGUUGGCAGCUGGUGGCUGCUCAGGAGACUGGAGCGUGGCCUGGAGGGGACAUUGUCUGCCAAGGGCAUGGCGGGGACGUGCUGGGCUUUGGGAGGGCUGCCAAGCAGUGCUCGUGUGCAUCUCCUUGUCCUGCAGCCUGCACUGUGUGAUGGUGUGGUUGCGACCGAUCCCAUGGACAGCAGCAAGACUUCCAUCUGCAGCCAAAUGCCUUGGCUGGCUGCAGGAAGGACUUCCAAGCUGAAGGUGAGACGUUAACAGCACUUCUGAAAUGGUUACAGCUCCCACAUGUGAAGGGCAUUGACUCAGCUGUGUGUAGGGCAGCUUCCCUUCUUGCUGUAGCCAUUGAAACAGGUAUGAAUCAGCUGUGUGUGCACCAGGAAAGCAAAUAAGAAAGGUUUUCACAAAAAAGCUCUAAGAAUGUAAAACUGAUACCUGGAGGUGCAGGUAAGUGGCAUACUUUUUCCCUCCCCCGAUUUUGUAGCUUGCACUAUAUAUGCAUCAGAUUUAAAGGCAAGUAGUGUCUCUCUUUAUCAAACAGGCUUGAUAAAAGAACAAUCAUGUACAUUCAGUUAUAUCUCUGCUAAACGUAUCCUUUUUUAUUGCUUUCCAGUAGUUCAAAGCAUUAGCAUAAAACAAUCAAGGAGGUUGUUUUUCCUAAGAGAGAGAGUGCCUGUUUACAAACUCAUUUUAUUUUCACAAUACUCCAUUGUUAUUUAUUUCAGACAGAAAGCUGUCAGAUUAAUGCAUUCCCUCAUGCAGGACAGCUUGCUUUAUUGCCCGUUAUUAAGAUAUAACAUAUAUAACCUGACAAGCACUGCCCACGUCUGCAAUCUACCAGUGAAAGGCAAAUUAAGUAGAAAAUGGAGAUCUCCAAUAUUUCUUGGGGCUAAAGUGAUAUUAGUUUUUAACUCAUUUUGUAUUCAGAGGGGAUUCUGCCUGCUCACAACAUAUCUGACAGAGUAAACUGCCCAAAGAAGGCUUUUUUGAUUCGUAGAACAGCUACAUCUGAGAAACUGAUUUCAGAGUCACAGGAGUCAAUUCCCCUGGCAUAAAUGUGUGCCGACAAAGGAGGAAAAAAAAACCAAACACCCAACAAAUGAGUUGGAUGGUGCAAGAAACCAGUUGGAAAGCAACUCCUUCGGGAACAGUGGUGUAAGGUGAGUAACUGAGAUGCAUAAACCCAAUCCUAAAACAACCCAACAGAUAAUCCUUAUGGCCCCAAGGGUCCAAAUUCUAAACCCCAGUGCUCACAUUGUCCCAGUAAGGGCUCCCAGAUGGACGUGGGCACCAGACACAGCUGGUAACACCUUAGCUAAGUUGCUCCCUUUUCUGCGGUGCAUGCAUUCGGGCUACUGGCAAGACGCUUGUAUUCCUUCUCCUUUUCACAACAAUUUGUUGUCCAGGAUAUCCCACGUGGUCCCACUGACAGCAUCCAACUGACAGUUUCCACAGAACUGCUUGAAAGUCUCCACUGAGCCUCAACAUUGCACUGGGACUAUUAGUAAGCUUGGUGCAAGGUCACAACACUGCAAACCUCACUUUCAUAUAAGUGAUGUUUUUCAAGUUUUUCAUUAUUGCUUAAUCUGAUUGUUUUGAUUUGUUUUCUUUUCCCCCCAGGACUGAAUUCCUGAACUUGUUGAGGGACAGAAACUGCUCUGGAGAAGUCAACAAGAGCGCGUGCGGUGCGGCAGACAAGAAGAUAAUUUUGGGCUGCAUAUUUGGAAGCACCACAUCACAAGCAAAUGAAAAUGCAUCAUCACAACACCGAAUUAAGAGUGAAGGAAAACACUGUCGGUAAGAUGCUGGAUAGACUGAAGAUAUUCAAGGUUGACGGACCAGAGCCUCUUGCAUCCAUACCUGUGACAGAUGAAAAAGAAAGGGUCCUGUUUUAAACACCAGGAGCUGCAUUCAGUCAAAAGGCUCAAGCAAGAGCAACAUCGGCUUCUCUUCUGGUCUUACAUCCUGUGCACACACCUGGCAGAGUUCUGCAAACUUGACAAGCAGGAUCCUCACCCUGAAUCCAUCUAAAUGACAGUGGCCUCUCAGUACCUUCCAGCUCUGUGCUACGCGCUGCCACCCUCGGGCCACGCUCCCUAAUGCCAUGCUGUGCUGAAAAAAACCUCUGAGGGACACAACCAUCUGGCUGCCUUCCACAACGCCUGAGCUGCGGCUGCUCUGCUGCUUUCAAUGUCAUUUGUUGGAUAUUCUGCUUGACAAACCAGCUUCCUGUUAACUGCAGUGCCCUUGCUUCUGGGGAUAAAAAAUGACACCCCUAAAUCCUUUACUUGGGUAAAAUUAACCAGCAUUAUCAAAAUCCAGCUUAUUGGUAUGUUUUUAGUAGAGAAACCUGAGAAUGUUGUGAGAGACAAAGCAUGCAAUUUGGAACUGUACACUGGAUUCCUCUUGUUUGGCUACCUCCUCUGAAACCAGGUAAGCUUUCAGCAUUUAUUUCUUGCCACUACAUCCCAGAACAAUGCAUAGUCACAUCUUGACAUAAAUUUUAUACAGUUAAGUGUCACAUGAGGUCCAGCUGUACAUUGAUCAAGAACAUCCUCAGCAAUUCUCAUAAGCAUAAAUGAUGUAUUUAAAUACUUGUUUGUUUGUGCAUUGAUCAGCUCUGGAAUAGAUGUAGCAAUGUAACUUCUAGGAAGGGAGGGAGCAAGUCCCACAGAACUAAGAAGAGAAAGUUUUAAGAAUAUCAAUUUCAUGCCUGGUACUAAAAAAAAUCUACUUAGCCAGCCAUAGAAUGCAUCAGUGUACCAUUAAUGGUGAAAGGACUAUGGUUUGUGAGACACAGUUUGAAUGUGAUUUUCAGCUACAAAGAUGAGGCAGUUAUGAAAUAUGCAAGGCAGUAAGUUUACAGGAUGCAAACAGAUGAGGUAAGGAAGGGAAUGUCACUUUCAGAUUCUCCUAUAGUUCAUUUUUGCUUACCUUAUACCCAGUCACCUCAGACUCGUUCUCCAUGGCUCUUACUUCUUCCCAGUUGAGGAUUACUCUGGAGUCAGUAACGUUCCACACAACGUUUCCUGGUGGCUGACUGGGCGCUUUGAAUACAUAAUCAAAGCAUGACUUUAAUUUAAUUGCCAUUAGUGAUUUAUUCUACAGUAGGAAAUAACAGUUCAGGUAAUUGAUUGUCAUUACGUGUCGGAUGUAAAAGCAAGUCAAAUACAGCCUCGUCAUUUGUACACUUUAUGGUUCAGAGACUAAAUUGGAAAAACAGAAGGAAAGAAAAAGAGAAUAGCAAAUAGAUGUUAUUUCUGAAGUUGCAUUAUCUGUUGAUGGUGUUUCAUUAAAUGCAGUCAAACAAAAGCGUAUUUCUUCGGACACGGGUGAUCAAUUAGAACAUACUCUAAUGAAACCAAUGAUGAUAAGACAGUUCCUAUUUGUAGUAUGUUUUCAAGAAUAAGUAAGUAAAUACUCCACAAUAAACAAAUUUGGUUUUAGUGAAUAUUCAAACCAAUGUGCUGUGCUGAUAUACUUUAACGUGGCUGAAAUAUAAAAAUAGGUGAGAAGAUUUUUUGUUCUUCUGUUAACUUGAGGCAUGAUUUUGAAAUGCAAUCGGUACGGUUUCAGUAGUUGCAGUUGGAACAAUUAAUAGGCUUUAGCUAAGCAACUCUAUUGGUUUUUGGGGAUGUUUUUGUGGUGGUGUUCGUUAACAACCUGAGAGUUACUUUCAAAGGGAGUGGUACGCUUCUGGCUGUACACAUCAAUGGAAAGGUAAAGUACAAACCUGUUCAGAUGCUUCAAGUUGACUUCCCAGAAAGUGGAUGAUGCAGUGGACCGUUUAGCUAUUAAAAUAUUUCUAAAUGUGUUAAGGAAAACAAUUUACUGUUGCUGGCACCUAGUGGAGGCUACUGCUGCUUAGAUGGACUGCUCCAAGCUUUGAUGCUGAAGGUAUGCAGUAUUAACAACUAACAGUGCUUUAACAGCUUUGUGCCUGCACUCAUCCUUGUGGCUUUUUUUCCCCCUUCCCUUUAUUUUUAAGCUCAUUUGCAUAGGUAGCUCCAUUAGCAGUCAGAUCAUAAAGCACCUGACUAUAGAGCAUAGCACUGUGUGGACACAAAAUGUGAGGCCAAGAUAUAAAAUGACUGAAGUCAAACAACUAUUCAAAGAUCUAUUCUUUUGCAGUAUUUGUCUUGUUCUAUAUACUAAAUAGGAUUCAACCUGAUGCACUAAUAGCUAAUUUCUGUAAAUGUAAGAGGAGACUGUUCUUCUCCUGAGAAUUGACUAUUACAGCAGAUAUAGAUAGUUUACACACUCAGAUAUUAAAGCUGAAUUUGAGAGAAAUGUGUCACUCUCUUAAAUCCAAAACAAAAUAUGUCAUCUAAAAAGAUGAAGAAUAAUUAUUAUAGAAACUGUAAGCCUCUAUCACCUGACUUACAGAACUGAGUCAAAAGGCUCUAUUUGGCUUCAGCUACCCAAAUCUCCAAUAAUCUUCAAAUUUGUAGUAGAUAAUACCAAACCAUUAUUUCCAGUGCAAAGUGUGCAAAUAGACUUCUCUAGGACUCAUUAGAUGCUUGAAGUUAGUUACACACUAACAUUUCUCUUAAUUACAGCUGAUAGAACAGUUUGUUGUAAGACCUCCUGAAUAUUAAAUAACAACAUCUCACCUUGUAAACUCAGGUGAAACCUCCAAAAUUAACUACAAUUUUAUGCAACAAAAUAUUUAAAACUAGUUUUGAAAACUUCUUGUGUCAGAUACAAGCAGUAGACUAUGACGUGCUUCACAGUAACUGUAUGUAUAAGGUAUUUAAACCCCAGUAAAUAUAAAUUAAUCUGAGUUGAUUCAGUGCUCAGUGCUAGUGAGUGAUGCUUGUUUCUGCAUAUGAAGUUAUUGUGAAAUUAUAGUUUCAUAAUAUUGAUGAUACAGCUCCUUUCAGCAGAAGGACAUUUAUGACCUUUCAUACAGAUUUAAUUGUGCAUUCUCAUGAAUCUGGAAGAAAUACUUCAAAACUGAUUACCCUGAUUUUGAGUUGUAUUACAAAGCAAGAGCACAUUAAAUAUAUUUUUCACUUGUAGAAAAAUUAGUGCAGUCUUUGACAAUCUGUUCUCCAGCUUAAUUUCUCCUUUCUAAUAGGAAUGGGGCCUCUUGUGUAACUCGAUUAAGGGAGAACAAUGGAUGUGGAUGAUUAUUUUGCAUGAAUUGUGUGAGGAUCAUUCAAAUGCCAUGUCCCAGAGAACUUAAGGAUGUUAUAAAACCCUGAGAUAUUCAAUAAGUCACUGUUUUUCUUUCCAACUAACAGAAUUCUUUUUUACAUUCCUUAAGUCACUAAAAGAAUAAUAAAGUUUUUAUGCAGAAAUAAUCUUACCUCAGCUCCAUCGGUAUGGUUGAGUUUUACAUACUCAUUGUGCUAAAGUAGCAGAGGGUAAAAACUUAAGGAUCUGUGCUUGACUGAGUUGCUCAGCUCUUCUAUUCUGUAUGAAGAUUUAGGUCACUUAUGUGCAUCGUGAUUCCCAUUAAUGCGUCUAUUCUUCAUCUGCCUGCAAAUGCUAACACACCAUUAUGUCUCUCCCCACUUCAGAUCUGUGAUACUUACGUGUCUUCUUGGUGGUAGCAUUCACUGUGGCACUGAAGGGACCUGCUCCAGCACUGUUGUAGGCACGGACAGCUGUGUAGUAUGCUAAGUUGCUCUUCAAACCUGUUAUUCUUAUUGAUGUUUCAUUCCCUGCAGCUUUGACUCUGUUUGAAGAUUCUUCUUUUCCUCCAUUAUUCCAGUACCUAACCUAGUAGACAGAAAACAAAGCUACUUAAAAUGUUGGAUAAACGUUCAAUUCCAUGCAAUGGCAUUGGUUUGACUCCUUCAGGUGCAUAUCUGUCAGCUGAAAAAGGUAGAAACAUAUUAAAGUUUCCAAAAUAUGCACACUAUUUCAACAGAAUCACUCAUGCAUCUGCCUUUCAUGCUUUCUGCCCUUUUGACUGCAGAAAAAGCAAAACUGAAAUAUUAGAUGUUGCUCGAAUUAAAAAAUUACAACCAGAGGAAAAUCACUGCUUCAUCUACAAAGUAAACAAGGCUCAGAAAAUUGUAGCUCACAAAAUAGUUGCAAUUCUGAAAAAAUGGCAGUUUGAUAAUAUAGUUAAACACAUGACUCAUCACAGGAAGCAAAACCAUUUUAUUCGUGGUUCAAUUUCAAAGAUAAACAGAAGAAAACAUUCAAUUUCAGGGUGAAGAUGGUACAGAGAAAAAGCCCAGAUGGGUGGUAACCUUCUAUCAACUAGGUAUUACUAGAGGCUAAUACUCUAUACUAACAGCUGGUUGCUUUGAUUUUCAUAAAGCAAACAACAACCGCCCCCAGAAUGCUAUAUCUUCCUUUUUUAAACAGAAUCUUGACUUCUGAAUAGUGUCAGAGCUGGAAAACUACUGGGGAGAAGGCUCGGGCUGGCCAAACGUCCUCCCCAGAGCCUGUCCUGCACUGCACAACACUCAGUGUUGGCUCAGUCUAGAAGAAAGGUCAGGAUCGAGGCUGUCUGGCAUGAGCUAUGCAUGAGAAGGCAUUCUGGAUCGUGGCCCUUUAGAACAGGAGGAGCAUUUUAAAUGACAUUACCUCAUAACCCAGUAGCCUUCCACUACUCAUCUUCCAGGGAAUGGCUUUCCAGGAGACUUCGAUGACAGAGGAGGACAGGCUUGUCACGGACACACCAGAGGGGGCUACGACACCAACUUUGACUUCAUAUGGUGAAAACGGCAGGAUGCUUUCGUUCCUGAAGACGUAUCUGGGUGUGUCAGGAGAGGUGACUACAGUCUGUAUCCAUGUUGUGGUGCCAAAGGGGCGAAAAGCGACGACAUAUCCAAACCCUUCUCCAUUCUGUAACUCCUCGGGGAUGGGCUGUGAGAAAAGCAAUCAGUGACUGAAGCCUGUGAUGUUACGUACUGCACUGGAAAAGCUUUGAAGGAGCAAAGCAUCACUGUGAAUGUAUUGCAUGCAGCUGAAACUUGUUCUGGUCUGCAUUUGGGAUCACUGCAUCAACAAAUAAACUCUGGUACAGUAGAGUGAAAUGCUUUCAUUUGAAACUAUCUGCACAUCAAAAACAGAGCAACUCCCACAUACAUUUCUUGCUCUCCAGUAAGUACACUGCCUUAAGACACUUCAGUAAACAUAUUUUUUCAAUUUCUGGUCACAAUUCAUAGUACAUAAAUAAUAUCAGAGAAUUCAGUACUACCUCCUGUACAGUGUCUGCACCUUCCCCGGAUGUGAUUUGGUUAAGUAACAACAUAGAGUUGCUACUAUCAGUAUGAAAUAGCAUGGUAACAUUUUUUUAACUCAUUAAAAAUAGGAUACAUAAUUUAAAGUAGUAUUUUGAUCCUUUAGCUCUUGCAUCCAGAAUUAAUGGUAGGAAAGUACAAACUGGCAAGUUGCACUGACAUGUGUUUGAGAGCAAAAGUAACCUUAGACAAGCUAACUGAAUUUCUUACUGAUUGCAGUCUAACAGUAGCAAGUGGAACAGGGAAGGCAAAUGUGCAUAGCUCACAUUACAGAAUGUUACCGAGCACAUAUACACCCUAGAUAAGAAGCUGCUGCAGCCAGGAAAAUUCAUCUUUAAAGAAGCGUUUCAAUGAAAACAACCAUUCUCUGAAGAAAAUUGCUUGCCAGAAAACUUACAUCCCAUGUUAUGACCAGUUCAGACCUGCUGCCGCCUCCCCCACUGACUUCAGCUGGGGGAAUUUCAGGAACUGUGAAAAAAAAAACAUACAGCUGUCUACGCCGUGUAAACAGAUGAGAUGGUAUCACAAGUUAACCUCAUUCUCUGGAGCUAACUCUCUCGUUUUCUUAUUUCUUUUGCAAAUUGAGAUGAGUGCUUUAGAACCUGCGUGGGGCAGACACGCAUUUGAGUAUUUGCAGAACCUCACAAAUGGAACCCUGUAUGCUCUGCUUUAAAUGUUUAUGAGCAUCUAAAAAUCAGUGGCAUGCUUCAAGUUUUCAACAGGGCUAACUUACUUACACAGGCGUGCUGGGCAACAGCCUUAUCCUAAGUAACACCUGGGGUUUCAAUCAGUGUGUUCUGAGCUACAUGCUUGCACCAUGGAAGAUGUACACUGACCAAACGCCAGGAAGAGAAAGUUGUCAAAAUUCACCUCUUCCCCAUCCAUUUACAGCUUCAGACUGCGCAGCACUGACUGAACAGAGAGUUUGCCAUGCUAAAAAUAGCUGAAAUAUAUAUAGCUGAAAUAUAUUUGAAUAUAAUAUGUAGAUAUAAAGUGUCCUAAAGCUGAACACAAAUACUCACUAACAAACUAGUUACAGACUUUUACAUUUGAUGCAAAUUCCAAGCUUAAUUGAAUUGAGCCAAAUAAAUGAUUUAACUUUUAUUUUUUUUUAUAAAUUCUAGAUGCUUGAAUUAAAGACGAAUAGAAAAACCCACUAACCUGCCUCUUCAGUUCUUACUUUUUCUGAGGGUAAACUAGGUUCUCCACCUCCUAUUUUGUUACUGGCAACUACACGAAAUUCGUAUUCGACCCAAGGAUUUAAAUCCACCACUGUGGUUGUAAACGUAUUUCCAUCAAUCACGUCUGGAACUAUUAAUUAAAAAAAAAAGAGAAUUAAGAACCUGCUGUAUCCUGGCCAAGCAUAUUUCAAGUGAAGCUGUAACAAGAAAUGCAUUUUACCUGUGGUAACUCGCUGCCAGCCAACCGAGAAAGGUGUUCUUGCUUGUAUGGUGUAAGCAGUCACUGGGCUGUGAUUAUCUGUGCCUUCUUGCCAGGAGAUCUGAGCUGUGGUAUCGGUUAUUUCAUCCACUCUCACGUGUUCGGGGGGCCCAGGUGAGCCUAGGAAAAGAUUGAAAAAUAGGUGGUGUUUAGUAAAGCCAGUGCCCUGGAAAUCACUAAUACUGCAGUAAGGAUUCCCAUUCUAUUAAGUGCUGUGGGAAGAAGAAAACAUUUGGAUUAGGAUAAAUAUUUAUUAACAUUUAUUAUACUUGCAUCUGAUAAGGUAAUUCUGAAAUAGUAACCCUGAACUAUUACGCAGGUGACAGGUUUUGUUUUAGUUCACUGACCUUUGUUCAGCAUGAUUCCUCUUUCCAUUCCACAUUAUCUUGUAUUUUGGUCCUUGAUGUCCUCUUUUAAUCUACUAAAGUAUCUCUGCAGUUUGCCUAUUUGUUAUCUAGAGCUAUUUUAGUGUAUGAAGUACUGUAGCAAUUCUUCAUCAGAACAUCUGAUCAGCACCGUGAGCAACAAUUCAGUCAAGCAAACGUCCUCCUGCUGCAUUCUGGAAAAAUCCUGAUUCUGGGCAGCCAAAAAAUGCUCUUUCUGUCUUAUCUGCACCAACAAACUGGUGAAAUAACUAACAGUACAAAUGCCAUUAUAAAAUACCUGGUAUAUUUUGAAACACAUUGAAUAAAUCUUGAUUGCAUCAUGUUGGUUUCUGGAUUACUGCUUUUCUUUUGCAAUAAAUGUAGCUGCAUCAUCAACAAUGAAAGCUAUAGUUCACGCUUAGCUCUGCAAUCUCCUGCUCUUGAAAAAAAAUAAAUAAAUAACCCUGCAUUAUAUAAUUUCAAUUCCUGUGUGUCUCCAGGACAAAGCCCUUCAUACACUUUGGCAGCAGACGCCCAUUUCCCAGGAAGGAUGCUGGACCAUGGAGUCAUCAUUUAGCAGACACAGCAACAGUAUCACAGCUGCCAGUACUAAACUGCGCUCAUCAGUGGCUUGAAGGACAGUCAUAAGAAACGAUAUUAUGUCAUCAUUUAUAGCAUUCUUCAGUUAGUAAUUCUUUUCUGGGAAGAAGCAAGUUUCAUCCAAAACUGAGCCUAACUUCAAUGCAGAAUCACAUAAGUCAUAGAUGAACAGGUUUUGUAAUCUACACCAUCAGCUGUUUCUGCAAUCUACAGCACACAACAGUAAGAAAACAAUUCAUGGUAACUGAAGCUGAAAUUUACCUCGUACUAUAAGGUCGGCUGCAGAUGCCACACUGUCUACUUCUGUCUUCACCAUACAAACGUAUUUUCCACUGUGUUUCAGCUGGAUGUUCCUAAUCAUCAAAUCUCCUGAUGCACUCUGUCAAAAUACAAAGUUAUUUAAUUAAUUAGCAUAUAAUUUAAUAUUCAGACCACGUUUUAGAAGUGGAGGAAAUAUCACCCCAAACAUGUAAGUACAAGAUAAACUAGACAGAUAAACUACAGGGGCAGCACAGCAGGUUAUUAGCCAGCAGUUGCUCCAUGCUACAUGGCUGUAAGCACUCUCCUAGCAGACAGGAGUUAAUGCCCCUCCUUAUAUGAGAAGCAAGCUGCAGCACAGGUGCCCAACACUGGGAACACACCUGCAGACAGCUGUUAGGAACCAGGAGGAAAGUCACCACCCUGUGCCUCCAAGCCACAAGAAAGAUGUGAUUUCUAUAGCUAUCACUCAAUCUGACUUCUAGACAGAAUUCACAAGUCUAAUUAUCAAAGACAUUCAAAGAGUUAAAAAAAGGUAACUAACAAAGCUGAACCUGGUCCGUUCUGAAGGCUUAAAGAUGAAAUGCAGAAAGGUACAGUACGAGUCCUGGGUCAGUGUGCUGCUGAGCCCCUCUCACCGAGCACCUCCUAUCCCUGGCAGUUUGUCUGGGAUUUCCUUCUGCCAAGUUGCUUUGCAUUGUGAGCACACCUGGAUUUAAGUGUAAUGCCUCUGCAUCUCUUUGGCUGAUUGCCCUGAUUUUAAGGUCCUACUUCUAUUCUUUCUUUUUUCAUUGUGCAUUCAAACGUCAGUCAUUUCUUUUCCUCUGUCCUCUCUCAUAUUACACCACCUGGUUGAUAAGAAUCAAAGAAAGCAUGCAAAGAGCUUGAGUGAGUGAUAGCAGUAACUUUGCAUUGUGUUACAGACUCUGUAUUAUUUGUUUUCUACAUUACUGAAAUAGAGCACUCAAUCCUAAACUUCUGGUAGUCAGUCUGCUUCAAAACCUCCUCACGUGCCAACUGAACUGCCUCAGUCCUGCUCACAUCAAAGCUUCCAGGUGAAAAAUCUGUCAGAUUCCAUUUUUUCCCUUUUUUCUAAUUUUGUGGAGCAGCAGUUUCAGUUGAGCACAGAACCAUAAUUGCAGGCAUUCUCAGCUCUCUGACCACAACAGAUUCUUGAGAACAGUGAUGUGGGAGAAAGGGAAGACAUGACUGCUGUGGUCUCCAGCAAAAGAGUCAACAAUCUUUCCAACCCUUUGUCUUUAGCCAUUAAUUAUUUCUUAUGCUCACACUAAUUGCUUCUGCUUGGAUCCUUAUAUUUCAAGAAUAAUUUCUUUUCAUGGAGACUGCCAUUAUCUCAGAUAAAUCUCUAACUAGAUACAAAUCAGCUGUGCCUCUUCGUCACAAGCAUUUGAGUCUCAUUCACUGAUGUCAACGUCUGCAGUUGAUGUGUAGGAUGAACAUUAGAACGUCUCACACAGAAGCUGAAAAAGCUUUGCCUGCUUCCCCUUCCCUUCCAAGUGUGAUAAUAUAAAUACAAUGCCAAGUCUUCUUCAGAAACAAAGAUGUAAACAUUUAGAGGACAGAGCAGCACUGGUUGCCUCCAGUACCCUAAAAGUUAAGCUGAAGGCAAUCUCAAAUCCAUCUAACUUGAUUGGAAGUGGAUAUUCAGGAAAUGAUCAGGAACAACAACGGAUACGCACAAAGCAAAUCAUGUUCUACAUGAACUAAUUGUAGCAAACUAGAUUUAAACCAUCUAGGCAGAGGGACUAUCAAAUAAAAUAAUCCUACUGAAACAUAACACUGAAAUAUUAACACCGCAUUUCAACUAUUUGCGGAUGCUUUGGAGGAGCAUCCUGAAGUAUUGAGGGGAAGAUGUGCAGCAGCAAAAAGCUCCAAGGCACUCAGCUCCCAUGGCUCUGCAGACCAAAAGCAGUGCCCACAUUCUUGCCUAGCCAGAUUAAGUCGUUGUCAGUGUGGACAAGUCCAGGUGGCAGUAAGGUCACCUUCCUUUCUCAAUGCUACACAGAAUAGCAAUAAGCAGAAGUGCACGCAUAGUACGAACAUCUGCUGGAACUGCUUUUGCUUUUCCUGACUGCAUUACAAUUUCAGCCAUUGCUGGGCUGUAUGAAUACGCAGUUUAGAAGAACUCUGCUUGUUUUGCCUAUAGCCUUUGUAUAAAUCAUUUAUCUAGCAGAAAAGAGCAGUACAGCAGUGAUAUAUCCUAUGUUUUUCAAACCAUCUGGAAGACCAGGUCACGGUGCCAUAACAUUCCCACUAACCACUACAUGUCAGGGAUCUCAGGCACACAUGGCAGGGACUGCCAAGAUAUCAUUACACAGAUCUCCAUCCACUGAAAAAUUAUUUUCCUUUUGCCAUGUUUAUCAACAAAGCUGAAGUUAUGCACAGAUAUUUCCAUUUAACAAAUACACACUGGAAGGCUUCUUUACUUACUGGGAUGAAAUUAUUCCAUCAACAUUAGUGGGAUCCAGACAAGCCCACAUAAUAGUUCUCUCUAUCUCCCAGUUACCCAUGGAGUUUUUCCACUGAGGAGGUUCAAUCCCCUUUUUUAAUCAGGUAAGACUUAAAAAAAAGUCACCUAAACCUCAGUAUUCCGUAACUACCCAUAAUCCUAUGCCAUACAACGAACUCCCAGGCUUUUAUGGAGAAAAUGUUCUACAGUCAGAAGUCUCAGUUACUCAAUACUCUGAAAUUUCCUUCACAACUGGUUGAGAAGUUUUCAUGAAAUCCUAUUUUUUUUUAAGCUUUUUGUUUUUUUAUUUUUUCUUCUCUCCACGUGGGGAAAAGUUCAGUAUGGCCUCCCUCUGUCACCAGGGGAGGCUUAAAGAGAGAAGUGAGGGAAACACCAGAGGUAGAAGAGCAGGAAAAAUAAGAUGGAUUAUAAUUUUUGUUAGCUUUUAGGCUGAAGCUCUCAAAAUCUGAAACAAGUUCCUCAAUCUGUCAUUGCUAUGUUUCAUGUGAUCCAAGGAAAAUCACGUAGCGCCAGAUGCAGAGACAGGUAGGCACUUAUAAAACUUCAGGUUUAAAAUACGAGAUAUCUGGAUACCAGGUUAUGUACUGCAAGCUAGAUCCAUGAAUGACUUCUCUGCAACAAAGAACACCACAUUCCAUAUGCCCAAAAGAGAAGAAAAAACCUUUACAGUGUUGGAAAGAGUAAGCAAGCCUGUCUGUGCUGCAUCUAUACAUCUACAAGAGAAGAGAUGUUCACAACUUACCCCUCCAACCUUCUCAAAAUGAGAGGCAUCUUUUUUGAAGUCAGUGAGCG